rnacentral:rRNA from 1 species
AUGUCAUGGCGUGCUCAGGUCUUGCCACUUUUCCGCAGUCGCUGCUUGGAGGGCUUUGUUGAUGGCACUCUGCCGUGCCCCCCGCCAGAUCACCCGGGGUACCAUGCGUGGGUGGCUCAUGAUCAUACCAUCCUCUCUGCCAUCCAGUCCUCUCUUACGGAGGGGGCCUCGUCACUUGUCAUCUUCGUUGCUACAUCUCGGGAUGCGUGGACGGCACUUCAUACCAGUUUUGCUUCGCAGUCUCAGGCGCGAGCUCACGCCAUCUGCACUGCGCUUGGGGAGGUGAAGCUUCAUGAUCUCACUGUCACUGACUACUUCAACAAAGUGACGGGUAUGGCUGACACACUUGCUUCCAUUGGCAAGACGCUUGGUCCGGAGGAGUUCCCCUCUUAUGUGCUCAACGGACUGAGUGAUGACUAUGAUAAUUUGGUGGAGAAUAUCAAUGGUCGGGUGACACUCUGA